CGAAGGAUCCAAGCGUUGUCCGGAUUUACUGGGUUUAAAGGGUGCGUAGGUGGGCUAUUAAGUCAGUGGUGAAAGCUUGCAGCUUAACUGUAAAAUUGCCAUUGAAACUGAUAGCCUCGAAUAUGGUUGAGGUGGUUGGAAUGUAACAUGUAGCGGUGAAAUGCUUAGAUAUGUUACAGAACACCGAUUGCGAAGGCAGAUCACUAAACCAUUAUUGACACUGAGGCACGAAAGCGUGGGGAUCAAACAGGAUUAGAUACCCUGGUAGUCCACGCCCUAAACGUUGCAUACUCGGUUUUAGCGAUAAACAGUUAGAACCCAAGCGAAAGCGUUAAGUAUGCCACCUGGGAAGUACGUCCGCAAGGAUG
rnacentral:rRNA from 1 species